ACGUAGGGGGCAAGCGUUGUUCGGAAUUACUGGGCGUAAAGCGCGUGUAGGCGGCUUGGUAAGUCGGAAGUGAAAGCCCUCGGCUCAACCGGGGAACUGCUUUCGAAACUGCCAGGCUUGAAUGCGGGAGGGGAGAGCGGAAUUCCCGGUGUAGCGGUGAAAUGCGUAGAUAUCGGGAAGAACACCGGUGGCGAAGGCGGCUCUCUGGACCGUGAUUGACGCUGAGACGCGAAAGCGUGGGGAGCAAACAG
rnacentral:rRNA from 1 species